AGCAGCGUGGCUCAGUGGAAAAAGAGCCUGGGCUUCAGACUCAGAGGUCAUGAGUUCGACUCCCGGCUCUGCCA
rnacentral:tRNA from 1 species